AAGAUCUUAGUUAAAUAAAAUAACAGUAAUAUGUCAAAUUAAAAUUACAUUAAAGUAGAUCUUU
rnacentral:tRNA from 1 species